UGAUGCUACAUACAGUAUGUACAAAAAAAAUAAAACACAUGAUGUUAGUGCAACAGUCGAAGAAAAUGAGCAAACUACAUAAAUAACAUCCUGUAAUUUGAUUUUGAUAUUUUUUUUUGUAUCUUGUUAGAUUGAAAAUGAACACCAAUGAGUUGACUGAUGAACAUUAUCACGUCAUUUAUUCAGAAAGUAUAAAUAACGACAAUUAAAGGUAGAACACUAUUAACUGCAACAUGUAAGUGUAAAAAAACAACACAAUUUAUUUAUUUUUGAGAAAUUCUAUUUUUAAACAAAGAAAACAAUCUGAAGUUGUCUUUAUUUUGAAGUUAUCGUGCCGUGAUUUUACCAGUCCGGCCCACUUGGGAGUAGAUUUUUCUCAAUGUGGCCCCCGAUCUAAAAUGACUUUGACACCUCUGGCCUAGAUAAAUUGGUAAACAUCCUCACAAAUAUUGAUAUAAAGCAUUACCGUAUUUUCCGGACCAUAGGGCACACCGGAUUAUAAGGAGCACUGCCGAUGAAUGCUCUAUUUUGGAUCUUUUUUUCAUAUAUAAGGCGCACCGGAUUAUAAGGCGCAUUAAAGGAGUCAUAAUAUAUAUAUUUUUUUCUAAAUGUAAAAGACUUCCUUGGGGUCUACAUAACAUGUAAUGGUGGUUCUUUGCUCAAAAUGUUGCAUAGAUGAUGUUUUACACAUCAUCUUCAAGCCGUUUUGUGGGCGGUCUUAUUUACGUGGCUCACCUUCGGCAGCGUCUUCUCCCCGUCAUCUUUGUUGUGAAGUGUCAAAAGAUGGAGCUAACUGUUUUAAUGACAUUCAGACUUUACUUCAAUCAAUAACGGAGCAGCAUCUCCUCAUCCAGAAACAACAACACCAGAAAUGUGUCCCGUGAAAAACCGUCCGACCAGAACUCUAAUAACUAAAGUUCCUUGGGUGAAUAAUGAAAUGGCAACAGCAGAGGAUGGAUGUCCCAUAACAAGAAGGUGGAGAAAAAGAAGAAGCUUAUCGACUACGGCGUCGGCACGGACUACAAAGGCGGACCUGCACACAUUUUCAGGUACCAGAAGGGAGCUCAGAGUGCCUUUCCUGGACCACAGACUGAGUGCUUACUUCCUGUCACUGCCACCUGAGAUGAUCACAGACUGAGUGCUUACUUCCUGUUACUGCCACCUGAGAUGAGGACUCCAAGGGUAGGCAGAAUGGAACUUGUCAUGAGAUGAAUGGAAGGUAUCGUAGUCCUCUCACGUAUCGUCUCUGUGAGGAGUGGAGAAGUUCCUUCUGAGGGACGCCUUCAAAGGUCCAAAUCUGAUCCCUGAUGAGAUUGUGUGGCGACGUAAAGAAGACUUCAGUGAUGGAGUCAUGUCGGAGAAGAAGUCCUGGUACAUCUUCCUGGAGGAGCACCUCCACUCUGUGGUGAGCGACGUGCAGCUGGCCAAGGCAAAGGAGAUUUGCACCCACAACCGUCCUCACACCAAAGAAGCGUGCUUCUACCGACACUCGCUUUCCUGGACGUGCUGAUUGGCUGCCUCACUUCUGGAUGCCUCGCUGGAUUGAAGCUAACAACCCUCAGCUCGCACACUCACCAUCUACAAGCUGUAACUGUAACCACUGAGCAAGUACUACUUACUAGUACUACUUACUAGUACUACUAAUGCUAACACAUCACAUGAUAGAACGUCAAUAUGAUUGAUCAGUGAUUCUCAAACUGUGGUAUGCUGGUUCCAAAUAAUCACUUUAUGAAAGUACAGUGUUUUAUUUUUCUAGGUUCCAGUGGUUCUCAAACUUUUUUUCAGGGUUAAAUAGAU